GACGAACGCUGGCGGCGUGCUUAACACAUGCAAGUCGAACGGAAAGGCCCUGCUUGCAGGGUACUCGAGUGGCGAACGGGUGAGCAACACGUGGGUGAUCUGCCCUUCACUUCGGGAUAAGCCUGGGAAACUGGGUCUAAUACCGGAUAGGAGCCAUUUUUAGUGUGAUGGUUGGAAAGUUUUUUCGGUGUAGGAUGAGCUCGCGGCCUAUCAGCUUGUUGGUGGGGUAAUGGCCUACCAAGGCGGCGACGGGUAGCCGGCCUGAGAGGGUGGACGGCCACAUUGGGACUGAGAUACGGCCCAGACUCCUACGGGAGGAAGCAGUGGGGAAUAUUGCACAAUGGGCGCAAGCCUGAUGCAGCGACGCCGCGUGGGGGAUGACGGCCUUCGGGUGGUAAACUCCUUUCGCUAGGGACGAAGCUUUUUGUGACGGUACCUAGAUAAGAAGCACCGGCUAACUACGUG
rnacentral:rRNA from 1 species